rnacentral:lncRNA from 1 species
AUAAAAAUGCUUAGAAUCAGAAUGUUGAGUUACAAAUAACAAGACAUUCAGUGUCACUAGAUCAAAGAGAAAAUGAAGAGAUCAGAGAGAUAGAAUGAAGGAUAAGAAGAUGGGAAAGAUCCAUCAAAAAUAAAACAUUUUAUUAAGCCAAUAUGCCAGAUGAGGAACCUGAGUGUGUCCCAGAAGAGUGAUAUGUUUCCCAGGAAAUAAAUAGUAAAGCCUGGCUUUGAACCCAGAUC